rnacentral:lncRNA from 1 species
ACAUCAAAAAAACCUAGCAGGGUUUGCCGACAGCGCAGUUUAGAGCACCGGAAAAUUUUGUGAGCGUUGCGACAAAGGUCCCUGGUUUGAAGGGCAUCAUGUCCAACUUUGCUGGGUGUUUGCUGGCUCCUGAUCCAGAUUCAACAAAGAAAGCUCCAUUCAUCAUCAAAUCUCCCUCAGAUCUCCAUUCCCAGUUCUUCCACUCUGCCUCUGGUGUAUUCUCCCUAUGGGUCACCUAUACAAUUAAUUAAAUCCAGAAGUCAAAAUGACAUAUUAGAUAUGAACGAACGUAUUAUGCAUGUAUAAUAAACGGUUAUAUUUGGACUAUAUUUACUCAUUACUUUUUCGAUCGAGCAAGCACACGUUUUGGUAAAAAUUAACGUCCACGCUCGAGCUUGAACACACUUAAUUGGGGCUAAGUAUUUACUAAUUAAUAAAAAAUUAAUUCAUGUAAUCAAACUGUAUAUUACCUGUUUGGUGACCCCGUUAAUGGGAGCAAUGAACCUGUUACCCUGGCUGAUGAUGGUAGGGUUCAUGUUUCCUCCGAUGGCAUACAUGAUCCAGUGGGUGUAGUCGUUGUUCACCACGUGGAAGAAUCCGUGCCGGACCCUUGGCAUCCUCUGCACCAGUCCCUGACCAAAGUGGUUGAAGGCCAAAGUAAUUUGCAUGAUUUUGUCUUGAGUGUGGGCGUUGUUGGCACCAAACAACAUCGCCUGCAUGAUUUUGUACGUACCAUUAAUUAGUAAAUUAUUGUAGUUAUUUACAUAAAUUAAUAUUAUAUUAUUAGGUUAAGUUAGUUAAUUAGUUUUUUUAUACGGGCGAGAAGAGGAGGGGAAAUUCUAACUCGAAACCUCGGAUGCAAGAGUAAAAACUUUUAUAGCAGAGUGUGCUACAAGUUUUUCUGAAGUUAGUUAAUUAGUUUAAGAUUAAAGUAAUUCCCUUUUAAGUACCUCAUCGUGGUCCGUGAAGUGGGAGUUGGAGAUGGUGAUGGAGGUGGAACCCAUGACGGCGUCGAUGAGCCCAUCUGCGCACCUGGACAUGGAAACGUGAUCGAUCCAGACGUUGGAGGCACCAAAGAGGGAGAUACCAUCGCCGUCACUCUGGGUCCUUAAACCUAUGUGGUCGACAGAGUCCCUGAUCAUGCCACCGGGUUUGGGGACAAUCAUUUUUAUGUGAAGGUUGGUGAUGAUUACAUUCUUCACAAACUGCAGGGUAAUGCCAGCACCCUCUUCUAUCACAACAUUGGCUCCCCUAGCAUCAAUGGUCUUGUCACUAGUCACCAUCAGCUCUUGCUGCAGCCUAAUCACCAUGCUUUUUGCGAAGAUGAUCCACAGAGGCCCUUUCUGAAUCACGGCGUGGCGUAGAGUUCCGGGUUUAGGGUUUUGCACGUCAUCAUCUGUGCCCAUUGUUACCACGUAAAAAGGACCAUCCUUACCUCCGGUGGCCUUUUUACCAAAGCCUUGGGCGCAGCCUACGAUCUUCUUUCGGUUGUUAGCCCAAUAAGGGUCACACCUCCAGCAGGCGUCAAUUGGGUUGGUCGCCAUGCAUGGACCCUUAUAAGCCUUGUUACCCCUCAAGUUCCUUCUUGUGGUGUUUUCCUUUAACAUAAGCCUGAAUAUAUAUAUAUAUAUGUAUGUAUGUCAUUGAUAACAAAACAUAUACAUAUGUGUAUAAUGUAUGAAGUAACAAUUUCUUGUUGGACUCAUGUUGUUAAACAAACGUUUAUAUGUAUUGUCAAAUUGUAAAUCUGCAUGCAAUAAUUAGACCUACUUGCCAACUUCAUUAUUGAACUCUUCAGUGACUUGCUCAGGAUUUUUAUUGUAGGAUUCCAGGGCCUCCUUUUCAGCUUCUUCGGCUCGUUGUUUCCAGUACGCAUCUAAAUCUAAUACCUGCGUAUCUUCAUUUGGAACAUCGGUUGGAUCAUCGUGGCUCGAAACGAAUACAGCAAAGGACAAGAAAAACAAACAUAGAAAGAAAUAGGACGAGUUAAACAUCGCUGCCAUUGUUGUUGGUUCUUCGUGGGCAGCCGCAGAUUCCUUGCGACGAGGAAACUGUCCGGUUGGGCGAGGACAAGGUUGCUCGAGGGUGUUGAAGCAGACCCAGCCAAGCCAAGCCAACAGAUUAAACCGGUCACAAGAGAUAAUUAAUUAACCAACUGGCAUAUCUAUUGGUUUGUCUUGGGGCGGGGGAUGUCUUUUAAUAUGAGACGAGACUCACCUAAAUAAGGCAUGCAGCUAAUUAUAAUUAAGCGUCUUAAUCUAACAUUUGGCGGGAAGUGUGGGUAACCGUUCCCAUGCAUCUGUUGACCGUUAAAAGUAGCAAUUGGGCUUCCCUUCCCUUUCGAAAAGUUCUUUAUCUUCUAGCUAAUUUUGGAUGUUAUCACAUAAAGGACUGGUAUACCGCAUUCUCGUAUCAUACACAUGUUAAGAAUACAGAAAGGUCAUGCAUGCAAACUCCCAAACUUGGAGAGUACUUACACAUAAUUGAUCGUUUUCUAUUAGUGUUUUCUUAGUAUAUAAAACAUGUUAAUUACAAUAUGAGAAAUAUACUAAUGAGAUAUAUACCUCUGCUAUACACACAAAAAUUCUCCCCAACUAGGCAUCGAAGUCAAGUAAUUAUUAGAUCAUUUCAAAGCAUCGAGGGAAUAAAGAGACUAAAUACAAAGUAUGACAAGGAUAUAGAUGUUAUGUCCAGUUAAAACUUAUAUCAUCGUCUUUUAAAUGUAUAACGAAUGUACUGAUACACAUUAAUUGCUUAUCACAUCAUGUAGAACAAUGUAAUAUCAAAAUUAUUGAUUCAAUAAUUAGGUCGUAUUAAUUUUACUUUUAAGCAUACAAGUCAUGACACAAGGCUCGUUGGUUGAGGAGUUGAGCUAUUAAAUAUUCAUUAUAACAAAUUAGUUGGUCUAGCAGCACCUGUCUCUACUUGGUGGAAGCAAGUCUCGGGUUCACCUCAAACAAAUGCAAGGAUAAUAUUAUAUAUAUAUAUAUAUAUAUAUAUAUAUAUAUAUAUAUUUGUAGUAAGUUUAAUAUUAAGGUUUGACCUCUUGUGAUUUGUAGGUGUUAAAAACUUAAAAGGACCGUUGUAAAAGUAUUGUUUUGGUUAAUAUUUAAAUAUUGGGCUUGAAUAAAGGGAAGUCCAAUGAUGCCAAUUAAAGGAGACUUGCCUGAAACCCAACAUUGAGCCCAAAAGCAAAUUGAAGCCUUCUCAGCCAAGAUACAAGUCACGUGUAUAUGAUUGAAGUGACAAGUGAUAGAGACUAACCUACUAUCAGCCAAAGAACACUUUCUAGUAGUAUUACAAGUAAAAAGUUGAUGACUCACUACCCUCCAAGUGUUUUCGGGUAAGCACACAACCAGAGACAAUCGGGCUAAACUGCUAAUAAAAAGGAAGACAGACCCCAGAGAUAAAGACACUCAAUAAAUCAAACAAACAAACAUACAAACUCUGCUCCCAAGCCAGAUUUGCAUCCAAAAGCUAAAAUCAACCAAGAUUCAGUCUUUUUAGCAAUAGUUUCCUUAGAGCAGUUAUCUUUUCUCCAGUAUAAAAGCUCUGCUACCAUUCCCAGUGCUGUAGUAUCGAUUCUCUUGUGUAAACUUGUUUACCAUUCAUCCCUUUUUAGGAUAUAACCCCUAUAAUUUCAAAGAGAAGUGACUGCAAGAGGUUCAACCUUGCCAAACAAGGUGAAAUCUUGCCCCAAGCUCUAUGUUUGUUUUCUAAAUUAGUAGAUCUAUUGCUUAAUGCAUUCUCCAGCAUGUAUUCAAGUUAUUUCCACCUGUUUUUCUAUUUUAAGAAUCCCAUUUGCAUCUGGAUCUGAUUAGUUUAAUGAACAUGUUUUCAUUAAGAGUGGUUUAGGACCAAACAAAUGACUUAAGGGGCUCUGGACUCCCUUCAUUCAAAUGUACAAGACCACGAACUAAAAGUCAUUGUUUACAAGGCAAGAAAAAGAACUUAAUACAGACUUAACCCACCUAUGACAAUCCUUUGAUAACAAGAAGUUGGAGUAACUUGGGGCGCAAGUAAUUGACUUAAAACACACUUGUUCUACAUCUGCUAUACUGAGAUAGCAGUGGCACGCUUAGCACUUAGUUAGUUUUGAUUGCGAGCCUCAAGGCCUACACCUAAGACCCCACAAAGGCACCUUUCAGAACUAGCUUGGUUCUCUUCUUGUAGCACAUCAACAAGCAAGAGCCCGACUACACAUCCAAAGUGCCAAUCCCUUGGGUAGCUGUGCUGAGGUCCGAGGAACCUUCUCCAGAGAAAUCUUUGCCCGAACAAGUAUAUUUGUAAAAAAAUUGUUGACGAAUAUGCAUGGUUAUAAUGAACUUAAUGAUGUUGCUGAUAACUGAUGUUUUGAUUAGAACAAUGUUUUAAGGAAUCAUCAAGUAUACAAUAAAGUUCAUAUCCAUCAUCCAUGUUUAUAAAAUAAAACGAUCUAGAUGAAGUGUUUACAAGUGCGUAAACUAAAACUAAAGUUAAUUUAGUUAAAGUCAGGGAAAGUAAACAUGUUUAAGGCACCAUUUCAAAGGGGUUGGUCCCUUGAGUUGCUCAAGGGCAGCAGGCUCUCCUCCUGUGACUCUAAUGCAGGCAAAACACCGCUGUUUGAAGAACAGGUACAGGGAUUAUUUCGCAUUCCUUCGUACAAUAUCCGCUUAAUAGUGUCGCUGUUGUUCUGUUCCGGAAGGAGGUUUAAAUCAUUCUUCUCACUCUCUUCAUUAUCUCCAUUUAAAUUAUUUUCCACCAGCUCUUUAAAUACUGAGGAUUGAAGGAUGAGGCCAAGAGGUGUUGGGGAAGGUGAUGACAUGGUGAAGGGGCUAACGGGCAUAGAAGGCUGCUGCUGCUGCCUAGGGAAAAUGUCGCGAUUUUUUGAGGUGUCUAUGUCAUCUACGGUGAAGGAGUUGGGUUGGAACAUGGACAUCUGUCUUCCUUCCUUGCUCGGGGGGAUGCCAUCAGUGGAAGAUGGCAUGGGGAGAAGCUGAUCUGCAUUCGAUUUCAGUUCUUGAGGGCCAAGGGAAUUGGCCCUUGGCCUCUGCCAUCUGAUUAUGUUUUCAAGUCAAAGUUGGUCACUGCAUUUAUGCCUCUGUAUUCUAUUGCUGCAAUAACAUAAGCAUGAGCAGCCUCUUCCUGGGUGCCUUGAUGAAAUAAAAUAAGCCUCAUAAACCACUUAACAUUCCCAACGUACUUUGAAACAAAUAGAUUUAAAUGUCAGCCAACGAUUUUAACGCUUAUUUUUUAGCCUUUUACACCCCUUCUGUGAGCGCAGAAAAAGUAUUAUACUCAAUUUGGGGCAUAGAUGACAAAAGGGGAAGUGUGGAAAUCGCCACCCUAGAGAUCAGUUUGAAACUCACCAUAAGUGCCGAGGUAGAGGUACUUGUUUUCGAAAACUCUCCCUAUCCUUGCUUCCCAUAUCCAACAUGUGCCACAUCAACACUUAACGAAAAUUUUAAUAGAAUUGUGACGGAAGAAUCACAUUGAUUUGUGACACCUAUUCCAGGGACUACAUUAAUUGAUUUUUAAUUUUAGGGACUACCUUGAUGGUGAUGGUCAAUUUCAGAUACCAUUUGUGAUAAAAACCCUAAAAAUAUUGUUUAUCAAUGGGCUAGAAACAUAAAACUGAGCCACGCAUAAAUAAGACAAACUUGAAAUAAUAAUAUUUUAAGAUAGAAAAAAAAUUAAUAGUUGUUUGAAAAGUGGGCUGGAAUGGAAAAAAUUUAGUAGCAUAUAAGUGUCAUUGCCACAUAGUGGAUAGAAUGUUAUGUUUCUACCUAUAAGUUGUGAGUUCGAAACUCCUUAUCUCUCAAAUUCUUGUAACAGUUUCUCUCCCCUCUCCCCAUAAUAAUAAUUAUUAAAGAAAAAGUGUUACAUAGGUUUCCAGAGGACACUUCUAAAGUAAAAUUUGUUAACUCCCCUUGAGAUGCUCUAAUUGAUGCCCGAAUUAGCAUACUCAGUUUACAUUGAGAUUUGAAUUAAGGUUUAUAUCCCUCUCACUUCAUUUUUUUUUCCCAAAAAAAUAACAAAAGAGAAUAAGAAAACAAUGCAAAUUUAUAUUUAAAAAUCCGUUCUUUAUAUGUUCAGAAUUGUUUUUGUGUUUGAAAGCAACAUGUACUACAUUCAUUGGUAUACGUCCGUGCACGUUCAAAAAAGAGAGGAAAUUAAACAACAAAAAAACCAUAUGCAUUAUUUUUUGGGUAAAUCACUAAAAUGGUCCAUGAGAUUUAUAUAACUCAUCACUUUGGUCCUUGAGAUUCCAAUUCGAUAAAAGUGGUCCCUGAGAUUGUCAACCAUCCAUCAUUUUGGUCAUUCUGUUAAAAACUCCAUUAAGUGUCCCGAAGCUCUUGGCCGAAAGUUUGGGCAAUUUUCAAAGCUUCAUAACUCAAUCGUUUUUUAAACAAAUUCGACCCAUAAUAUAUCAAAAUGAAGAUAGGAAAGUGUAGAAUAAGAUUAUACCUAUUUUGAAGCCCAAUGGUUGACAGAGAUGGCCUGAAAAUAGCCUCAAAAUUGACUUGUCCGAGCGAAAACUGGAUAAACUUUAAACGUUCAUAUCUUCUUCAAUACUCAACAAAAUCAAGUGAUUCAAAAACGAAAAUCAUACUUCUCGAUGAGACAAAAAGAAUGGUACCUUUUUCAACUGCUAUAUCUCCAUGGUUUGGCCGAAACGUGGCUCGAAGGUGGCUAACUCGAGACCUAGACAGCUACUUUCAAGCAGUUUUCAGGCCAAAACAUGGCAAGUAAGCCAUCGAAAAAUGUACCAUUCUCUUCAUCUCAUCGAGAAGUAUGAUGUUUAUUUUUGAAUCACUUGAUUUCGUUGAGUAUUGAAGAAGUUAUGAACGUUUAAAAUUUACCCAGUUUCCGGCGAGUUUUCAAGUUUUCACUCGGACCAAUCAACUUUAAGGCUAUUUUCCGGCCAUCUCCUGCAACCAUUGGGCUUCAAAAUAGGUAUAAUCUUAUUAUACACUUUCAUAUCUUCAUUUUGAUAUAUUAUGGGUCGAAUUUGGUUAAGAAACGAUUGAGUUAAGAAGCUUUGAAAAUUGCCCAAACUUCCGGCCAAGAACUCCGGGACACUUAACAGAGUUUUUAAAGGAAUGACCAAAAUGAUAGAUGGUGGACAAUCUUAGGGACCACUUUUAUUGAUUUGGAAUCUCAGGGACCAAAGUGAUGAAUUAUGCAAAUCUCAAGGACCAUUUAGCGAUUUAGCCUUAUUUUUUAAGCAGCCGCUGAGUUGUUUCGCAUUUAUGUAUUUCGAUGUUUUAUUUUUUAAGUUUCGGAUUAUGGAUAGAUGAACUAAACACUAGAGUGGAGGUUAUGAACCUUAUUUUGUUGGCAUAAAUGAAAUUGCAAUUUUGGAAAACAGUGAUUGAGUUGCCAUUAUAAGACCGAAGAGACGCUAUCGGUAUUAAUUUCGGGUUCUUUGUGUUGUCCUUAUGCAGUCGUUUAGCUUACGUACCUAACCAUAUGCUUUGAAAAUAUGUAAUUCAUAUUCUGUUACUAUCAAAUUAUCUAUUUCCCUUGUUUUCCUAUCAAAUUAUAUAUAACCAAAUUGUUAAUCUACAAUUGAGUGGCAGAAGAAGAGUUUACCGCGCUAUAAAAAUUGGUUCGGUUGACUAGAGCAGUGUUUGUAAUUGUUAACCCACAUCUGAGUGGCAAAAGAAGAGUUACCAUGCAAUCGAAAUUGGUUCGGUUGACUAGACCCCGUGUGUAACUGUUAACGCACAUUUGAGCGGUAGAAGAAGAGUUACCAUGCUAUAGAAAUUAGUUUGGUUGAUUAGAAUAGUGUAUCUAUUUUCCUACUCUAAAAUACGAAUCUUGCUUCUUGUAAACUAGACUGGAGUUCUCAUACAUGUAAAAUAAAAGGAAAACUAAUGAAAAUGGCUUGAAAACUUUAAGUUUUAAUAAUAAUGACAAAAUAAAUUGUAAAUUGAAUAGUACCAAGAUUGAUUUUUUAGUGUAAAAAUGUGAUUUUUCAUUAAAAUGAACAGUACCGGAAGCUUUUUCGUUAAAGUUCCCUAAAAUAAAUUGCAUUUCUCGAAGGACAUUAGAUUGCUUGCUUUUAUUUAUAAUGUUCUUGAUAAAUUCAUACUUACCCCAAAACCUACCGGGUGGUCUUACAUUUCUCACAAGAUCAAAAGUAAACCACUGAAACUAAUCUCCCUUGUUUUUUCUUUAUAUUCCAAGUGGCUCUGCAAUAUGGAAAAUUCAGGGAUUUAUUCAGACCAACUCCGUAAGAAUUUAGUCUUCUUAGCAUUACUCUAAAUUUUAUAGUAAAAUUAGGAUAAUGCUAAGGAGAUCAAAUUUUCUAAACUAAAUUGCAAAUCAAAUAAUGUGUCAUCAAUAAGAAAUGAGCACGUUAAUCGACACUUGGUUAAUAAUCCAAUCAUCUACAACCAUAUUAUUUGGCUUGCAAAUUUACUUUAAAAUUUUUGUUUUCUCUAACAUUACCCAAUUUGUUAACUCUCUUGAUCGGACAUGACCUUUGUUAAUUUCUUCAGUUUACAUUGAGAUUUGAAUUUAGGUUUAUAUCCCUCUCCCACUUCCUUCAUUUGUUUCCCCAUCAUUAUUUCCCCCAAAAAAUAGCCAAAAGAGAAUAAGAAAAUAAUUAUAAAAAUGUGCGACAAUGGCAACGCAUAUGUAAAAAUCCACUUUCUUCGAUCAUAUGUUUAGAAUUUUUUUUUCUUUCAGUUUGAAAAAACAUGUACUACAUUCAUUGGUGUACGUGCACGUUCAAAAAGACGAAAAAAAAAAAGAAAUUGAACAACAAAAAGGAACCUAGCAGGGUUUGUCAACAACGCAGUUUAGUACUGGUUUGGUACUGAUGUGCAUUUUAUAAAAAGUGGAUAAAAAAAAAUUAAGCUCAAAAAGAUGUUUGGUAAACACUUAAAAACAACUUAUUUUCACAGUUUUAAAUGAAAAAAACUGAAAACGUGAAGCAGCAAAAAUAAACUUAUUUUCACAACACAGAAGAAACAAAAUUUUUUCAAAACACAACAAUACCAAACUAGCCCUAGGAACACCAGAAAAUUCUUGUAACAGUUUAUCUCCCCUCUCCCCGUAAUAAUAAUUAUUAAAGAAAAAGUGUUACAUAGGUUUCCCGAGGACACUUCUAAAGUAAAAUUUGUUAACUACCUUGAGAUGCUCUAAUUAAUGCCCCAAUUAGUAUACUCAGGGGGCAUUUGUUUACCCUUCUUAGCCUUCACUGAAUUAAAUUGGAUUGUAGUCUUGUGUUUGGUGGCUUGUGGGACUAACAUUAAUGGCACUAGAUGGGACUCACUUUGACAAACGACUUCACUAGCUGGUCUUAGCGAGAGACCCCAACACCCACGGGUUUAGCUAAGACCUUCCAUCAUCCUCUCUCGCCUUCGUCCACUCUCGCUGCAUCCUUUAUCGCCUUCGUCUGCUUCACUGCCCCGAGUUCAUCGACCUCGAUUUUCUACGGCAUGGGCUUCAAUGAAAGCUGGAACUUGGAAGAUAGAAAUUUUUUUACGGCUGGGUUCAUCCAUCUCAGUCUCCAAUUUUUUACGGCAUAGACCUUGACCUCGAUUUCGACGGCUAGUUCAUCCAUCUUUGUCUUUAAUUUUCGACUGCAUCGACCUUGGCCUUGAUUUUCCAUGGUUGGGUUUAUCCAUCUCGUCUUCCUCCACCCUUCCCUUGCCAUCUGUGACACACCCCGAUCCUAGAAUCAAGGCGUGCUGGCCGUCACGCCUUGAUUCUAGGAUCGGGGUGUGUCAGUUUGGUAUCAGAGCCUAGGUUGCAAUCCUGUAUAAAUUGUUAACGUUCUAAUGAUCUUUUGAUGUCUUCUGUCAGAACUAUGCCGCCUCGUAGGGAAUCACGCCGUGCUUCUAAGUCCAAUUUCCCUAAUAUAACUCAAUUAGGGAAAGCGAUGGCCCAUGCCUUUCAGAAUGCAAUCCGUCCUCCUCCUCCUCAGAGAACACCCCUGGAGACUAUGUAUAAUCUAAAAUUAGACUGUUUCAUGGGUAAUGAGGGUCAUGAAGGGGCAGAAAAGUGGUUAGACCAUAUUGAGAAGACUUUCCAGGUGAUGCAGAGUCAAGGGAACCUUCCUGCUAAUAGAUGGGUGGAGACCACUACUUGGUUUUUAGGACGAGAGCCAGCAGGUUGGUGGAUAAAUCAGACUAAGUUUAUGUCACCUGAGAUGGCAGCUGACUGAGAAGUAUUCAAAGAGCAUUUUAUGAAAAGAUUUGUUCCGCCGGAGUACAUUGAUCGUAAGAAACAUGAGUUUACUCAUCUGAAGCAAAAGGAUAUGUCGGCGCAUGAGUAUUACAGGAAAUUUACAGACUUAUCUCGUUAUGAUCCUGAUACAGCUAGUAAUCAGGCAGAGAUGCUUCGCCGUUUUAAGCUGGGAACUAAGAAGAAAUGACGGACUUUUGCUAGUGCGCUUCCUUGCACCGAUUAUCAUGAGUUUUCUGAGAUUUUGGUGCGGAUGGAAGAUUCCGACAACCUUCCUAGUAAUAGUGAGGAUGAUGAAGAUAAGAAUGCUAAUCAGAAGAAAGAUGAUAGGGGUAAAGGUAUCUCCACUCAGGGACCCCAUAAGACACAAAAUUUCAAGAGAAGUGGAGUGAGCUCGAGUUCUUCCAGUGGAGGAUUUAGUGUCACAGGCCCGAUGAGAGGUGGAAGAUUUGUUGGUGGACCCAAGUUUCAGAGACAAAGAGAUUUUGGUGGUGCUGGUGGUUAUGGUGCUCCGUUGUGCCAUCGUUGUAAUUUCAGACAUCAUAGAGAGUGUAAGAGAAGUGGUAGUGGUAGUGCUUGCUACACUUGUGGAAAGAUGAGACAUAUGGCUGCUCAGUGUUCCCAGAGUCAGCAGAGAUCUCAGCAGUCUACUAUGCCAUCUCCAACGCCGAUUCAGCAGAACUUUGGAUCAGGCAGUUAUGGUCAGACGGGUCGUGGUGAUGCUUACCACUACCAGGGUGAUACUGCUCUCUAUGCUUCCGGACAAUAUCAGUAUUCCCAGGAUCCUUAUUCUCAGACUGGGUAUUCCCAAGACCCUGGAGGUUAUACUUUUUAUUCUUCCAUGCCAGCUAGUGGAUCUUAGUGGCAUCGGAAGGUCAGCCUCGACAGGGAGAGGUUGCUGCUAGCAAUGCAGGACCGCCUAGGCAGUCUAGUCAGUCAGGACAGGGACGUACUUCUCAGGGGCGAGGUAACCAAGGUAACAAAGGUCGUGGUGGACGACAGCAAGCUCAUGGACGUGUUAAUCACAUCUCAUUACAAUAUGCUCAGAAUCAUUCGGACUUGAUUAUGGUCGUGGUGCUACACAUCUCACUACAGCAAGCUCAAGGUCGUGGUGCUACAUAUUCUGUGAUUUCUCAUACGUUUGCUCAAAUGACACAACAUCACCAUACACCUCUAGGAUUUGAUUUAGAGUUUGCUAUGCCUAGAGGGGACAAAUGUUAUGUUGAUAGUGUUUAUCCAGGGUGUCUAGUGAUGGUAGAUGGUGUAGUUAUGUCAGCUAAUCUUAUCCCGUUAGAUAUUGUGGAUUUUGAUGUGAUUUUAGGGGCAGAUUGGUUGCAUUAUAAUCGUGCCCAUAUAGAUUGUUACGGGAAAUCUGUUACUUUUCAUCGUCCUGGAUUACCAGAGGUUACUUUUGUGGGUGAAAGAAGUGGGGUGAGACAUGGUGUUAUUUCUGUCAUGAGAGCAAAGAAGUUGUUAUCGAAAGGUUGUCAAGGAUACUUAGCACAUGUGGUGUUAAAUGAUGUUGUUCCUAGCAGUGUGGAGGAAGUUGGAGUAGUCAGGCACUAUCCUGAUAUGUUCCCAGAUGAUUUGCCUGGAUUGCCGCCAGACAGAGAUGUGGAGUUUUCUAUUGAUUUGCUUCCAGGUACGGAUCCUAUAUCUUUGACUCCAUAUAGAAUGGCUCCAGCUGAAUUGAGAGAGUUGAAAAUUCAGUUACAGGAAUUAACUGAUAAAGGUUUCAUUCAACCUAGUACUUCACCUUGGGGAGCUCCAGUGUUGUUUGUAAGAAAGAAAGAUGGAACUUUGAGAUUAUGUAUUGAUUACAGGCAAUUGAACCGGGUAACGAUUAAAAACCGUUAUCCCUUGCCUCGUAUCGAUGAUUUGUUCGAUCAGCUUAAAGGUGCGUGUGUGUUCUCUAAGAUUGAUUUGAGAUCUGGUUAUUAUCAGUUGAAGAUUAAAGAAGAUGAUGUACCUAAGACGACUUUCAGGACCCGUUAUGGACAUUAUGAGUUUUUGGUUAUGCCAUUCGGAUUGACUAAUGCACCUGCAGCUUUUAUGAGGCUAAUGAAUGAGGUAUUCCAGCAGUAUCUUGAUAAAUUUGUCAUUGUUUUUAUCGAUGAUAUUCUGGUAUACUCUAAGUCUAAAACAGAUCAUAUUCGACAUCUUAACUUGGUAUUAAAGAAAUUGAGGGAGCAUCAGUUGUAUGCCAAGUUUAGUAAAUGUCAAUUUUGGUUGAAUCAAGUGGCAUUUUUGGGGCAUGUAGUAUCGGCACAAGGAAUUCAAGUAGAUCCUCAAAAGAUAGCAGCAGUGGAGAAUUGGGAACAACCACGAACCGUCACUGAGGUACGGAGUUUUCUGGGUCUAGCAGGUUAUUAUCGACGGUUUGUUCAAGAUUUUUCUAUGAUUGCUUUGCCACUAACGAAGUUAACUAAAAAGGAUGUUAAGUUUGAUUGGGAUGAGAAUUGUGAGCAAAGUUUCCAGCAGUUGAAAUAUUGCCUCACUCAUAAUCCAGUAUUGGUACUUCCUGAUGAUAGCGGUAACUUUGAGAUUUACAGUGAUGCUUCUUUAAAUGGUUUGGGAUGUGUUUUGAUGCAGCAUAAUAGAGUGAUUGCCUAUGCUUCUCGACAAUUGAAGAUUCAUGAAAGGAAUUAUCAUACUCACGAUCUUGAGUUGGCAGCCAUUGUCUUUGCUUUGAAGAUUUGGAGGCAUUAUCUCUAUGGUGAGAAGUGUAAGAUAUUCACAGAUCAUAAGAGUCUUCAGUAUCUUUUCACUCAACAUGAUCUUAAUCUUCGUCAACGGAGGUGGAUGGAGUUACUAAGUGAUUAUGACUGCACUAUUGAGUAUCAUCCGGGUCGUGCAAAUGUGGUAGCUGAUGCACUAAGUAGGAAACCUCAAGGUCGACUCAAUGCUUUGUAUGCUUGUCGUGUUCCUCUUCUUAUAGAUUUGAGAGCUACUAGAGUAAGAUUGGAGUUAGAAGAAUGAAGAGAAGCUUUUCUUGCUAGUUUCCAAGUCAGGCCAGUUUUGGUUGAUCGUGUACUUGAAGCUCAAAUGGGUGAUGAAGAGAUCCAAGAAAUGAUCCAAUUAAGAAAUGAAGGGAAAAAGAAAGACCUUAGAAUUCGAGAAUCUGAUGGCAUGCUUAUGCAAGAGAACAGAAUGUAUGUGCCGAAUAAUGAGGAAUUAAAGAAGGAAAUUUUAGAUGAAGCACAUUGUUUGGCUUAUGCGAUGCAUCCAGGGGGAACUAAGAUGUACCAUACCAUUCAACCAUUUUAUUAUUGGCCGGGUAUGAAGAGGGAAAUUGCAGAGUAUGUAAGUAGGUGUAUUGUUUGUCAGCAAGUCAAAGCUGAAAGAAAGAAGCCUUUUGGUCAGAUGCAACCACUUCCCGUUCCUCAGUGGAAAUGGGAAAAUAUAACUAUAGAUUUUGUGUAUAAGCUUCCGCGUACACGAAAUGGAUUUGAUGGUGUUUGGGUGAUUGUAGAUCGGCUUACUAAGUCAGCAUACUUCAUUCCAGUAAGGGAAAAGUAUCCUCUGAAUAAAUUGGCUAUGUUGUUCAUCACGAAGAUUGUGAAGUAUCAUGGAGUUCCAGUGAAUAUUAUUUCUGAUUGAGAUCCAAGAUUUACUUAUAAGUUUUGGAUAGCUUUUCAGGAAGCUCUUGGUACGAAAUUGCUUUACAGCACUGCUUAUCAUCCUCAAACCGAUGGACAAUCAGAGAGGACUAUUCAAACGUUGGAGGAUAUGUUGAGAUCUAUAGCGUUACAGUUUGGUGAUUCUUGGCAUGAUCGCCUAGAUUUGAUGGAAUUUGCCUACAAUAAUAGUUUUCAUUCAAGUAUUGGUAUGUCACCAUUUGAGGCACUUUAUGGUAGAGCUUUUCGUACGCCAUUGUGUUGGUCAGAGGUUGGCGAAAGAGUGCUUGAAGGCCCAGAGAUUGUGGAUGAGACUACUCAAAAUGUUCAGGUGAUUAAGUCUAACCUGAAAGCGGCCCAGGAUCGACAAAAGAGUUUAGCAGAUAGACAUACUACUGAUCGAGUUUAUGAUGUGGGUAAUUUGGUAUUCUUGAAAUUGUCACCUUGGAGAGGUGUAGUGCGGUUUGAAAAGAGAGGCAAGCUAAGUCCUAGGUACAUAGGACCUUAUGAGAUCACUGAGAGGAUUGGUGAAGUUGCUUACAGAUUGGAGUUGCCUCCGGAGUUAUCUAAGAUACAUAAUGUGUUUCAUGUCCCAAUGCUUCGACAUUAUGUUUCAGACCAUUCACUUGUAAUUCCUCCUCAACCUUUGGAGAUUAAUCCGGAUUUGACGUAUGAUGAAGAACCAAUGACUAUCUUGGAUUGGAAAGACAAGGUUCUAAGGAAUAAGACAAUGAGCUUAGUAAAAGUAUUGUGGAGGAACCACUCAGUGGAAGAAGCUACUUGGGAGACAAAAGAUCGAAUGAAAGAGAUGUAUCCGAGGUUGUUUUAUGAGUAUUAAGUGGAUUGUUUAGUUGUAUGAAUUUCGAGGAUGAAAUUAUAUAAGGAGGGUAAAUUGUCACAGCCCGUCCCGGGAUUUUAUUUAUCAAGGACGUGAAAUGACGGAAUUACCCUUGACGGGUGCUAAGGUAUGUGUGUGUGUGACAUAUUAUUUGGACUAAAUACACAUAUUCCAUAAACUUUGGAAAAUUAUUUAAGUUGGAUUAAAAUUUGGGUUGUAAAUUUGUGUGGUUAGGGAAUGAAGUUGUGACUUGUUUUUGGGUGGACCACACAACACACACACGAGACAACCCUCUCCCUUCCCCUAUGCUCUCUCUCUCUCCUUUCCGUUUCAGUCUCUCUCUCUCCCUCUUGAAAUUGUACGGACAAAGGGCCAAACCCUUGAACUUUCACGGAUCGACGCCAAAAAGGUAAGUUUCUUCAUCCUUUCGACCUCCUGAGUUGAAUGGUACUAGUUUUAGAAUGGGAAACCUUAGAAAUCACGUUAAAAACCCGAGGUCCGAUUUGAGUACUGUUCAUGCAUUCGUGAUGUGUUGAUUUUCAGGGAAUUCUAAGCUUAUAGUGAGCUUAGUGAGGUCCUAAGGAAGCUCGGAGUACUUAGUUUGAAGGUUUUGGACGUCGGGAUCGUUGAGUUCGAAAUUGGCCGGUUUUCUUGGAAUUUCUCCGGUGAGAUUUCGUAGUUUUUAGAGCCUUAAAGUAGUGUAACGUGAUUCUACAUGCUUAGGGCUUCAUUUUGAUAUAAAAUACAUGAAAAAUGGUUGAGAAAUGACGGAGAAUAAAGAGAUUGAAAAAUCUCCAGUUUUCAGGCCACCGGAAAAACCAGUCCGGCGAGCCCAAGGUAGGAGACGCGCGUGGACCCAUGCUUGUCCCGGCACGUGGGGGCGCGUGACAAGCCCAAAAAUUAUUUUAAAAAUAUGUCGACGUCCGUGAUGUCGAGUAGGUCACUGUGGUAUAUUCAUAUACCCAAAUUGAGCAUCGUAUAAGAAGUUAUUACGAAUUGUCGGUUAUGUGCUUUAAAUAAUGUUGUUUUAGUUGUUUCGCAUAUAGGUGAUACCUAUCCCGAGGACGAGCGGAUUCAAGGGCGUCACGGGGGCUACGACCUUUCGACUUAUCAGUGAGUGGGCAAUAUUUCUGUUUAUACCUAUAUACUAUAGAUAUUUUUCCCAGAAAUUAAGUUUAAAUGAAAGUAUGUUUUUAAAAUGCCAUGCGUGCAUAUUGUGAAAUAUAUGAAUUGGUAAUUGUUGCAUAUAUAUAUGUGUGAAUUGGUGAUGUGAAUGCACAGGUGAGUAUCAGGUGAGUUUUAUGUUAUUCAUGUGAAUUGUUAAUAAUGUGAAUUGUGUUGAGAGCUCAUAACAUGCACCCUUGGUGUUAGUGCUUAUAUUAUUCACCGCACCGCAUGCUCACCUUGGAUCCAAGUAAGUGCAUGUCGUACAGACCAUGAGAGGGUUCCGACAUACUAGUCGUAUAGAUCACUAGAGGUGAUUCCGACUAGUAGGUGACCUUAGAUUAUGCGCGCAGAUGAUUGAUGAGAGAAGCACUAGAGUGUAUUCUUACACCAUUCUUGUUGUACAGACUACUUCAAGUAGUUCUGACUUAUGUGCAGAGUAGUGCCGUACAUGUCACCGUGGUGACUCCGGUUGGUUUGGAUAUUUAGCUAGAAUUAAUCGUACAGGACCAACUGCAGGGUCUCCGGUUGAUUCAUUAUGUCACCUGUUAUAUUGAUGCAUCCAUAUUCUGUCAUUGUCAUUUAUAGCAUGGCAUACUUGCUGGAUUUUAAUAAAAAUUGAUGUUUUGAGAGAUAUGAACAAAUAUUAUGCUAUUAUGUUAUUUUCUGGGAAAGUAUACAGGUUUUACAGCGAGGGGUUAGAAAUGUUUUGAUGAAAUGUUUUGAAAAACUUUGGUUUUACUGACCCACUCAAUUUUGUUUUGCGCCCCUCCAGGUUCUAGAUAGCAGCGUUGGUGACCCACGAGGAUUCCCACGGCGUACUGACAGACUACAUAAAUAUAGGACUCACCUGCGGGUGUUGUAACUUAGUUAUGGUCCUACUUGACUGCACCUAGUACUUAUGCUUUGAAUUUGUGUGUUUUACACUUGAACUCACUCUAGCAUGCUAGUUGGAUAUUAUUGCUAGUAGUUGGUUUUUAUUCGUUCGUAUUUCUCAUAUCUUUUGCUUCCGCAUCGCACUUUUGGUUACGUCACGCUCACGUGACGGCCAGCACACCUUGAUUCUAGGAUCGGGGUGUGUCAGUCUGCAACUCCAAUCCCUACCCACACCCAUACCCAGCCUCACCCACAUGUGCCGUCCGCAACUUCAAUCCUCACCCAUGGAAAAACAAGUGAUGUUGGAUGGGAAAAGAGGCAAAGGGAAGAGAGAGAGGGAUUUGAAAGGAAAAACUAAGGGAAGAGAGAGAAUGAGCUGAACAGGAAAACUCACCAGGGCUGCCAUUGAAUUGGCGGUGCUAAGCUUGAGAGGGAGGGGUUGGGUUUUUUGGAGGAAGGCAAGUCUCCAUUUUUUGUGAUUUUUUUUGUGAUUUUAAUUCGAAUAGUCUAUGCAACAGAGGGAGAAAAAGAGCGAAGAAACUUGGAUACACAGAGGAGAGGGGAGAGAGACGGCAGGGGAUAAAAAAUAAAGAGAGGUUAGCUGGAAAGAAUGAUUAUAGAAAAUAAGAAAAAGAUAAAUUAAUAAUAGAAUAUUAAUAAAUAUAUAUUAAGUAAAUAAUAAAAUAUUAUAUAUAUAGAUUAAAUAAUAUAAUAUUAGAAUCCUACUUCUUAGUCCGACACUGCACCAAACGCUUCACUAAAUCAGUCCAGUUUAGUCUAGUCUAAGCCAGUUCAGCUUAGUCCCUAAAGUUAGUCCAAUCCGAAAUAGUUCGAUGCAACAAACGCAUCAUCACAUUGAGAUUUGAACUAAGGUUUAUGUCCCUCUCACUACAAUUUUUUUUUUCCCAAAAAAUAACAAAAGAGAAUAAGAAAACAAUGCAACGUAUAUUUAAAAAUCCGUUCUUUAUAUGUUCAGAAUUUUUUUGUGUUUGAAAGCAACAUGUACUACAUUCAUUGGUAUUAAAAAAAAAAGAGGAAAUUAAACAACAACAAAAAAACCUAGCAGGGUUUGCCGACAGCACAGUUUAGAGCACCGGAAAAUUUUGUGAGCGUUGAGACAAGGGUCCCUGGUUUGAAGGGCAUCAGGUCCAACUUUGCUGGGUGUUUGCUGGCUCCUGAUCCAGAUUCAACAAAGAAAGCUCCAUUCAUCAUCAAAUCUCCCUCAGAUCUCCAUUCCCAGUUCUUCCACUCUGCCUCUGGUGUAUUCUCCCUAUGGGUCACCUAUACAAUUAACUCCAGAAGUCAAAAUGACAUAUUAGAUAUGAACGAACGUAUUAUGCAUGUAUAACGAACGGUUAUUUUGGACUAUAUUUACUCAUUACUUUUUCGAUCGAGCAAGCACACGUUUUGGUAAAAAUUAACGUCCACGCUCGAGCUUGAACACACUUAAUUGGGGCCAAGUAUUUACUAAUUAAUAAAAAAUUAAUUCAUGUAAUUAAACUGUAUAUUACCUGUUUGGUGACCCCGUUAAUGGGAGCAAUGAACCUGUUACCCUGGCUGAUGAUGGUAGGGUUCAUGUUUCCUCCGAUGGCAUACAUGAUCCAGUGGGUGUAGUCGUUGUUCACCACGUGGAAGAAUCCGUGCCGGACCCUUGGCAUCCUCUGCACCAGUCCCUGACCAAAGUGGUUGAAGGCCAAAGUAAUUUGCAUGAUUUUGUCUUGAGUGUGGGCGU